UUUGGCUAAGCUCGUGGCGCUGUUGGCCUAUGCGCCUGGGCUCGCUUGUGUGACUCCCUGGGGCUCACCCAGGUUUCAGCUGGUCGGAGGACAGCAAACCCAAGAACAAGGAGCACUGAUACUAAGUUACGAAUGUAAAAUAAAACACUGGGAAGCAAACAAUCUUAUAAAGAGGAUUUUAUAACAUCAGCCCUCUUGGAACAGAGAUCAUGAUGACACGGCAUCUACUCGUUCAGGAGGAACCCCAGGCCCUUCCAGCGGUGGCCACACAUCACACAGUGGGGACAACAGCAGUGAGCAAGGUGAUGGCUUGGACAACAGUGUAGCUUCCCCCAGCACAGGUGACGAUGAUGACCCUGAUAAGGACAAAAAGCGUCACAAAAAGCGUGGCAUCUUUCCCAAAGUAGCCACAAAUAUCAUGAGGGCGUGGCUGUUCCAGCAUCUAACACACCCUUACCCUUCUGAAGAACAGAAAAAGCAGUUGGCGCAAGACACGGGACUCACCAUCCUUCAAGUGAACAAUUGGUUUAUUAAUGCCCGGAGAAGAAUAGUGCAGCCCAUGAUAGACCAGUC
rnacentral:sRNA from 1 species